rnacentral:rRNA from 1 species
UGGGGAAUCAUGGUCAAUGGGCGAAAGCCUGAACCUGCGACGCCGCGUGAGUGAUGAAGGUCGUAAGAUCGUAAAACUCUUUUCAGGGAUCUUAAAGCACAACCGUCAACAACGGCUGUGUGUGACUCUCCCUGCAAGAAGCCCCAGCCAACUACGUGCCCGCAGAUGCGGUAAUACGUAGGGGGCGAACGUUAUUCGGAAUUACUGGGUGUAAAGGGUAUGUAGGCGGCUCUUCAAGUUGGGUGUCAAAGUCCAGUGCUCAACGCUGGGUGUGCGCGCGAUACUGACGGGCUUGAGGGCGGGAGAGGUGAGCGGAAUUCCCGGUGUAGUGGUAAAAUACGUAGAUAUCGUGAGGAACACCGGUGGCGAAGGCGAGUCUCUGGACCGUUCCUGACACUCAGGGACGAAAGCGUGGGGAGCAAACG